AAAUGUACAUACUAUAGCGCUUUUGCCCUAAGCGCUGUCAUAUUAGCACACAUACUAUAGCACAUAUGAUGAAAGCGCUGUCAAAUAAUAUAAGAAUUUUUUUUUAAAAAAACAAUCCAUCAAAAUAGCAAAGAACCGCCUUAGAGUUUUUCUACCCCCGCUUCUCUCUGCUCUGCAAAACUCUACUGCCAAGACUUUCAGCGAAACCACGACGGUGAUUUCCCUUCUCACGGUGUCGAUUUCCCUUCUCACGGCGGCGUGAUUCCUUCUCACGGCUGCGUGCUGUCCUUCUCACGGCGAAACCCAUAAAGGCGUGCUUCCCUUCUCACGGCGAGAGUGAAUAAUCGAAUUUGAAGAUUGACGAUUGUCAUUUGAGGAGAGGUAGUUGAACAACGGUUGGAGCAAUUGACAAAGAAGGAAUUAGGUUAUUUGACUAGACGUACUUUUCCUUAUUUGAAAAUACAUAUUUUGAUCGUAGUUUUACACCCCUUAUUAAGUAUUAAAAUCGUAUAAGUCCAACAUUUUAUUGUAAUUAUUAUCGAUUUAAAAUUGAUUAUGUACCAUAUUUAAUAUGCUAGACUCUAAUCAUGUGCUUAUGCCCGGGAACAUUUUAGUUUCAUUACAAAUACUGUGUAUAGGGCUUGCAGGCUGGAUUAUGUCACUACAUACCUCCUUAAUUAUAUAAAGUGUAUUGUAAUACCUCAAUUAUAUAAAGCAACAAGUUAUCUAGUA